AAUCAGCAUCUAGAAACACCUCGCAAGAGGUGUGGCAACCGAGCCCACCAGGCCACGGUGCCUCCCAACAAAUGGGGAUGCGGCGCGACGAGCGCAAAAGAACUGGUGCUC
rnacentral:ncRNA from 1 species